UGGGGAAUAUUGGACAAUGGGGGCAACCCUGAUCCAGCAAUGCCGCGUGUGUGAAGAAGGUCUUCGGAUUGUAAAGCACUUUCGACGGGGACGAUGAUGACGGUACCCGUAGAAGAAGCCCCGGCUAACUUCGUGCCAGCAGCCGCGGUAAUACGAAGGGGGCUAGCGUUGCUCGGAAUGACUGGGCGUAAAGGGCGUGUAGGCGGUUUACACAGUCAGAUGUGAAAUCCCCGGGCUUAACCUGGGAGCUGCAUUUGAUACGUGUAGACUAGAGUGUGAGAGAGGGUUGUGGAAUUCCCAGUGUAGAGGUGAAAUUCGUAGAUAUUGGGAAGAACACCGGUGGCGAAGGCGGCAACCUGGCUCAUGACUGACGCUGAGGCGCGAAAGCGUGGGGAGCAAACAGGAUUAGAUACCCUGGUAGUCCACGCCUGUAAACGAUGUGUGCUAGAUGUUGGGUAACUUUGU
rnacentral:rRNA from 1 species